UACGAAGGGGGCGAGCGUUGUUCGGAUUUACUGGGCGUAAAGGGCGCGCAGGCGGCUCAUUUUGUCAGGCGUGAAAGCCCCGGGCUUAACCUGGGAACUGCGUUUGAUACGGAUGGGCUAGAGUUCGGGAGAGGAGAGUGGAAUUCCCAGUGUAGAGGUGAAAUUCGUAGAUAUUGGGAAGAACACCAGUGGCGAAGGCGGCUCACUGGCCCGAUACUGACGCUGAGGCACGAAAGCGUGGGGAGCAAACAGG
rnacentral:rRNA from 1 species